rnacentral:rRNA from 1 species
UUAGUAGCGGCGAGUGAGCGGCAAAAGCUCAAAUUUGAAAUCUGGCGCCUUCGGUGUCCGAGUUGUAAUUUGAAGAUUGUAACCUUGGGGUUGGCUCUUGUCUAUGUUUCUUGGAACAGGACGUCACAGAGGGUGAGAAUCCCGUGCGAUGAGAUGCCCAAUUCUAUGUAAGGUGCUUUCGAAGAGUCGAGUUGUUUGGGAAUGCAGCUCUAAGUGGGUGGUAAAUUCCAUCUAAAGCUAAAUAUUGGCGAGAGACCGAUAGCGAACAAGUACAGUGAUGGAAAGAUGAAAAGAACUUUGAAAAGAGAGUGAAAAAGUACGUGAAAUUGUUGAAAGGGAAGGGUUUGAGAUCAGACUCGAUAUUUUGUGAGCCUUGCCUUCGUGGCGGGGUGACCCGCAGCUUAUCGGGCCAGCAUCGGUUUGGGCGGUAGGAUAAUGGCGUAGGAAUGUGACUUUACUUCGGUGAAGUGUUAUAGCCUGCGUUGAUGCUGCCUGCCUAGACCGAGGACUGCGAUUUUAUCAAGGAUGCUGGCAUAAUGAUCCCAAACCGCCCGUCUUGAACACGGACCAAAA